CCUACGGGGGGCAGCAGUGGGGAAUAUUGGGCAAUGGGCGCAAGCCUGACCCAGCAACGCCGCGUGAAGGAAGAAGGCUUUCGGGUUGUAAACUUCUUUUAAGAGGGAAGAGUAGAAGACGGUACCUCUUGAAUAAGCAACGGCUAACUACGUGCCAGCAGCCGCGGUAAUACGUAGGUGGCAAGCGUUGUCCGGAUUUACUGGGUGUAAAGGGCGUGCAGCCGGGAAGACCAGUCAGAUGUGAAAUCCCGCGGCUCAACCGCGGAACUGCCUUUGAAACGGUUUUUCUUGAGUACCGGAGAGGUCAUCGGAAUUCCCUGUGUAGGGGGGAAAUGCGUAGAUAUAAGGAAGAACAACAGUGUCGGAGGCCGAUGACUGGACCGCCACUGACGGUGGGGCGCGAAAGCGUGGGGAGCAAACAGGAUUAGAUACCCCAGUAGUC
rnacentral:rRNA from 1 species